GUUACAAUGAUGCGGCUAUAGAAAAGUUUUCUGGUGGCCUUAAAUCCAAAGCUUUGCGAAUCUUUCCAUUGAAAUUUGUUGGUGCACCGUGUUUACGAAUUGAAAUUUGUGGUGGAGACUUACUCCCAGACAAACCAACAGAUCUCAUUGCAACCAAAUCUGCAUCGACGUACCUCGAGAUAUCAUGGAAACAUCC